UACGAAAGGUGCAAGCGUUACUCGGAAUCACUGGGCGUAAAGCGCACGUAGGCGGACUUACAGGUCAAUUGUGAAAUACCUGGGCUCAACCCGGAAACUGCUCUGCAUACUGGCAGACUGGAGUGAUGCAGAGGUUUGUGGAAUUCCUGGUGUAACGGUGAAAUGUGUUGAUAUCAGGAGGAACACCCAUGGCGAAGGCAGCAAACUGGGCAUUAACUGACGCUGAGGCGCGAAAGCGUGGGUAGCAAACAGG
rnacentral:rRNA from 1 species